GAGGCCAGCCAGGUUUGAGGACAUGGUUGUUUCAGGCUUUCACAAAAGCUCCUCAUGCAUCAAAGGCGUCAUGGAUGGAGCUAGGAGAAAACACCUCCUGGCUCUCAGGUAUCAGCUACUACUAAUUGGGACCCCAGCAGCUGAGGUACAUGACGGUCCUCAGCCCCUCCUCGGCCUUCUCCGCCAUGGCCGAGGCAGAGGCAGGUAGCUGCUUCUUGCCCUGCGACACGCUGGCUCGCACGUUGGCCCUGGCCUUGGCAGCUCGCUGGAUGGACUUGAGCGCGUAGUUCCAGCGGCAGAGGCCGGCCUGGUCCUUGAGGGCCUCCACAGCGCCCACGCUCAUGGCCACCAUCCAAGAUGCCUUCGCCGCACCCGCCAUGAUCUCUCUUUUCGUUGACUAGUCGGACUUUGUGGAUUAUGAAUGAACUGGGCGGAAGGCUGAUUGGUGUUUGUGUUGAGGAGAGGAAGAGCGGGGGUGGGAGAGGUUAUAUACAGGAGGGAGGCUGGUAGGUCCGGAGCAAAACAGUGGUCGCAGACGUUGGUUUUUCAGGAUACCGGGUGCUCCUGAUGGGUCACUUUGUUGCUACUCUGCUCGUUCAGGCCCAAGUAUAGCUGUUCGUGUCCUUUUGUUUAUCGAAAAUGCUAGACCUACUAAAGCCUACAUAAAUUUAUUAAACCUUCCAACUAAUCUAAACAUGCCUCCCCUGAUUUUCAGGGGUGGGUGGGCCUCAUCCUCUUUUAUUGUCAAGUCAGACUAUUACGUAAACGUACGUAAACAUUUACGUAGAUGUAGCAUCGCUCUUUGUUUAUUUGGAGGUGGAAGUGGCGGUUUUGCACAUUGCGAGAGUAUGGGAUUGAUGCAAGCCCAGAUAAGAGCAACUCCAAUGCGCCCACGGAAACGCCUUUUUUCGGUUUUUUUUCGUUUGGAUCGACCGCUUUUUCGAACUGCGUACGUCCUGUUUAACAUUUAAAUCGGUGAUGCGUCCAUUUUUUUAGCAAAUAUGCACAUAUUUUGCAUUAUUUGAUAAGCGGACAUAUAAAAAAAGAUAGUUUUACAAUCAAAUAAAAAAUAAUUUUAAAUAAAUAAGUAUAGUUUUACAAACCAAAUAAAAAUUAAAUUGUCUCAAAUACAUGUGAAAAAAAGAUACAUCUAUCGGUUGCCAACAUGAACCUACAUAUGCUCAAUCAAAUCAUUUUUGUAUUUGCAUGUGAGUUUUCCAAUCACGCAUUUCAUAAUAAAAUUGAGCGAACUGUUCAAACAUUAUCACUCCUCCAUGCUCACGCACAAUAUUCACACCCUGAAACUGAAACCCUCUUCUUUUCCUCUCCCCCACUUCUAAAAAGAUUUUUAAAAAAUACCAAAAAGAUUUGCCUUUUUAUUCACCCUUUUUUCGUUCGUCAUUUCGUUUGCUUCUCGUUUGCUUAGGUGUUAGAUUGCUUAAACUCAUGGCUGACCUUGCUACUAUUGCUAGUAUUCAUGAGAAUGAGGUUCUCAAUUUUAAGCAAAGGGAGGGAGAAAACUUAAAAGAUGCUUGGUAUAGAAUUUGCAAUGCUCAAAAUAGAUCUAUUCACACGCAAUCUACUACCGUUCUCCUUCAUAAUUUUUAUGUGGGUAUCUCUCCUUGUAAUAGAUAUGUUUUGGACACUAUUAUGGGAGGAAACUUCUUGGGUAGCCAUACCUUAGAUUCUUAUAAUGCUAUGACAAAUAUGGUAGGUUCACCCCCGCUCAUGAUUAAUGAAACAAUCUUAACCUUGGAACAUGUGAUGCGAAGGCUUGAUGUUAUUGAAGAUAAAGUUGCUACCAUUGAGCUCAUUAAAAACUUGGACAAAAAUAUUCAUAAUCAUAUUACUCAAUUUGGAUCUAAGGUAGGAGUUAGUUUAAAAAACCUAAGGGAAAAGGAAUCCAUAGUUAACGAAAAAAUGGAUAAAGAUUCUUCUAGGAUUGGAAAGCUUGAGGACAUUAUUACCAACUUGUGUUUCGUCUUUGCCUCUAUACAAACCACUCCUCCUCCUAAGACUGCCAAGUUUAUUUAUGUUCCUAAAAAUAAGGGUGAAUCUUCUAGAAAAAGUGAUGAAGAUCUUAAGAUGAUAAGUGUUCAACCUAGCUUUAUUAGGGAACUCAUUACUACAAGUGAAAUUCUGGAUUUCUCACCUACAAGUAUGAUUAUUGAUAAAACCAAAGGAUCUCUUAGGGUUCACAAGUGUGCAAUUGAGGAAUUGCACACCAAGGAUGACAAUACCUAGAUCAAUUGCAUUAUGCCUAGCUAGGGGCAUUAAACAAUAGCGCUUGUUGGGAGGCAACCCAAUUUUAUUUGUUUUGCUUUUGUUUUCGUUUCUAUUUUUGAGUGCUGCACAUACUAUUACCUCUGUAAUAAUUGUGUUUUAUUGUUUUCAUUAGUGUUUGGAUCAAGUAAGACCUUUGGGAUGGUCUAUGGUGUUUGCAACUUGAUUUUGCUGAAAAACAGAAACUUUUGCUCUCAGUUCAGAAAUUUUAUAAAUUCGCUGGAACAUGCUUUUGAUCUGAAUUUUUUACACAAGAUUGGUUUACAAAUUGCCCAUAUCGUCCUAAGUUUUCAGAAUUUUGGGAGUUACAGAAGUAUUCUAAGUAAAUAGAUUUCUACAGAUUGUUCUGUUUUUGACAGAUUCUGUUUUCUUUGUGUUGUUUGCUUAUUUUGAUGAAUCUAUGAGUUGUAUCGGGGGAGGCAGCGAAGAAAAAAUUCGAAGAGAACGCUCAGAGCGCGACACUUGGCGGCAGCUGAAAACACAUCAAAUGGCGGCGCGCGGGAGCGAUCGCUGGGAGGUUUCCGAGGAGCGCUCUAGUUGGACACGACGAUCCACCAAGUCCGCACAAUGUGACCUUCGGUCAAUCCACCCUUAUUCAAACGAGCGGUGGGAUCUGACAGCACCUUCGCCUCUCUGAUAGUUGGGAAAGAGGAGCUUACGAAAAAAGCUUCUGCAAGGGCUCGUUCACAAAGACUCGCAAGUCGUCCCCAAGGCCCUCCACAUAAAACCAAGAUUUAUGCCACUCCCGAACAUGUCUCGAAAGGUCAAAGGAAAAGAAGGUGGAAUUAGGGCGGAGCUACACUGCUGCAGGAAGACUCCCCCAUGAUCACAGAUAGUGCCCUCAUUAGACUGAAUGCAAACACUUGCGUAACAACUCAAAAUGGGGAGCCGUCCCAAGGAAACACUCACAAAAAGUGAUGAAAUUACCAAUAUGAAGAACUCCGUUGGGAGGAAUGUGAUGUGAUACGUCUCUAACGUAUAGUACGUUGUACGUUACGUACAUAUAUUUUUUAAUUGUUCCAUGCUAUCAUAUUAUUAAUCUUAAAUAUUUUAUAUGUAAUUAUACAUUAUUUUAUAUUAUUUUUAGGACUAACCUGUUAACCGAUGCCUAGUGUUAGUUUUUACUUUUUACGUGUUUUUGACUUUUUAGGAAAAUCAAUACCAAAUGAAGUCAAAACAUGAUGAAACUUUACUGUAACUUUUUCUCAAUCAAAAGAGACCCUAAAAGCUUCGGGGGCAUGCAAGUAGGCGUAUGGGUGAGCAACGAGCUCACAUGGUGCAUGAGAGGUAGGGUGCGCUCCCGAGCUCGUGGCCCAUCCGUACAUCAAGUGACACAAUAAAAUACCCUAAUGUUACCAUAGGUAUCCGCAUGAGAGGCAUACAUCAAGUGUUUUUUUAAAUUCAAAGUAUUCAACGUAAUAUAAUGAAACUUUAAAGGAAAAGACUCAAUUCAUCAUAAGAUAGAGAGGAAAGAACAUCAUAUGAUCCAACUAUAUUAACAAAGCUCAUGAUACAUCAAGAUCGUGCUAAAUAAAAAACAUAAGAGAGAGAGAAAUCAAACACAUAGCUACUGGUACAUACCCUCAGCCCUGAGGAUGAACUACUCCCUCCUUGACAUGAAAACCGUUGGGACAUGAAAAUGUCCUCCGAUAUUGAUUUCUCCCUCCUGCAUAGUGCCGGAUGAGAUCACUUUGAAACAGAAGCUUGCGGCGGCGAAGCGAAAGUUCUAGAUUGAUUUCUGGGGUCAGCCUAUUUAUAAAAGAUUAUUUUGACCGGCACACCCGGACACAAACGUUUCCCAAAACAGAAUGAAAAUGUGAGAAGCAUGGGUCAUUCCCUAGUUAACUAGGGAGAUGGCUCCCUCUGCUAGCGACUUCGUCCGUGUGUGCACGUGAUAAGCACGAGGCAUGUUUUGUACUUAAGGUGAAUGAAGUUGGUUUUCCAUUACUUUUCAUGGUUUUUUCUGUUUUUUCAUUUUGUUUUUUUACAGGCUUCACUUCCUGAUUCCUUUGUUUUUUGUUCAGUUUUCUUUUUUCUUCUACAUUUUUUAUCUGGUUUUAUUUUUUCUUCUCUAUUUUUUUGUUUUUCUUUCGUUUUUUCUUAUGUUUGUUUUAUUUUCACUCUACAUUUUUGUAUAUGUCAAAAACAUUUUAUUAUAAAUGUUUAAUGUUUUUCUGAUGCUAAUUUAACAUCUGUAAUACCUAGUCAACAUGUUUUCUGUACGCAUUACUCAAUAUUUUUUAAACACUUGAUUAACAUUUUCAAAUACAAAAUUAACAUUUUUUAUUAUGUAAUCAUUAUUUUUUCUAUAUGCACUUUUAAACAUUUUAAAAUUCUUAGUUAACAUUUUACAAAUACAAGAUUAACAUGUUUUUAAGACAUGAUCACAGUUUUACCUAUACACUUUUAACAUUUUUUAAUUGCUUGUUUAACAUUUUUAAAUGCUUAAUUCUCAUUUUUAUAUAUAUUAUGAAACAAUUCAUUAUUUUUUAAAUGCAUCAUCAACAUUUUUUAAUACACACUUAACAUUUUUUAAAUGCUUGAUUUUUUUUCAAAUACUUGUUCAAUAUUAUUUUAAAAAUACUUGUUCAUCAUUUUUUAAUAUAUGGUCAACAUUUGUUCUAUACAAACUUAUCAUUUUCCGAAUGAUUAAUUAACAUUUUUGAAAUAUUUAAUCAACAUUUUUAAAUGCUUGAUUAACAUUUUUGCAUACAUUAUUAAAAAAUAAUCAUUUUUAAUACAUGGUCACAUUUUUCUAUUUACAUUUAACAUUUCUCAAAUGCAUGAGUAAUAAUUUCCAAAAUAUUACGUAAAAUAUAUUUUUAUGAUAUAUAUCUCUGAAAUAUUUGGAAGCGUAAACAAAAUUUACAAAUAAAAAAAAACAAAAAACGAGGCCAUGCCCUAACUCAACUUCGAGGCAUUAAGCGAGGUGAAAGUUCCUCUUCCUUUAACGUGAGACAUAGUCACGCCCUUGGUUGUGUCCUGGUUGGAGGGUGAUGCCUAAUGUGUGUAACUCAAGAUACUCUCAUACGAGGGUUUAGUUCUUGCAGCUUGCUCGCUACACUGUUUGUCUCCACGCACGCGCACCCAGAUGCGUUAAAGACGCCUCCAUCCUUACAGGGUGGGGAUCCUUCGCAAAGCCUCCGAUCCAAAAUCUUCCAAAGGUUUUGGUCUUUUCCUCCCACGAGAAGCAAUGUGGCGGCCACCGGCCAGUCCUAUGCCGUCGUCGCAUUCCACGUCUUCACCCUGAUCACCCUCGUCCUGGCUUCCCGUCCCCCCCGCCGUUUGUCCUAGCCUAGCGCUUUCAAUCGAUGCCACCUCUCCCGGCCCUCACCGCAUAUUCAACCUGCCCAACGCUAUCGGCUCGGUCAGGACCAUGGCCUCGUACACCACCAUGGCCAGUCGUUUCCCUCCAACUCUCAGCACCCUCAACACGACGGCCAGAUAGUUCGACCACCACAACACCACCACGACCAGACGUAUCGACCACCACAGCACCACCAUGGCCAAACGGGUCAAACACCGCAGGACCACCUCGGCCAAAUAGCCCCAGCGACAGAUAACCAUCAGUACGACAUGUCAUCGUAAUCGCCGCAAACGCAUAGUUCUGAUCAUCGUGCGGUACCAACGCACGCCCCGAUGCCUCUGCUUUCACACGGCCCGACGCCACCAUCUUCGUCUUUGGGUCUUUUCGAUCAUCCAACGCUGGCGCACGACACAAUGUCACCACUCCCUCGUCCCGUCGGCCUCCAGUUCUGCUUGGUCCGCCAUAAUGAGCGGCACCAACUUCAUAGUUCGCUGGGACGCAGCCACCUUUGGCGGCUCCAACCUCGUCACUCGUCGGGAUGCAACCGUCAUGUGUGGCAGCCUCGUCGUCCGCUGGGACAACUUAUUUAUACCAAACACUUUUAUUUCUUUUAUAUAUCAAAUUUGUUAUACAUAAUUUUGUUUUUAAUUGAUACUCCUUUGGAUAAAAAAAUAAGUGUCAUAGUUUUACUUUAAAACAUUUAUUUUUUAUCAGAGAGAGUACAACAUUUAUAAAAGAUAAUAUUUUUUGUCCACUAUACCUAACAACAUGAACCCCAAGUAGUAACUUAGAGCUAAAUAUUGUAAAAAAAUCAUUGAGAUUACUAUAAUGACAAACCAACUCCAAUUUGUGUAAAACUUAUAUUAAUAUUCAAAAUAUGUUUGGGAUAUUUAAGUAAGUUAAAUUCCAUCCAUAUAAGAGAAAAAUUAGGUGAGCAUUUUAUUUAUGCGUCUAUUUUAUUUCCUUUGAAUAUUUUGAUAUAGAGUUCUAUAACAUAAGCAGCUAACAAAUAUCUUAGUACAAGCUUGUGGAAGACAAUUUGUUUAUCUUGUUGUAAGUAUUCUUUAUCUUAUAUCGACCAGCUUAUUAAUUGGAAGGAACUACUGUGCACCCGAUUGUACCUAUUAACUGAAUAUUUGGUUUUAUUUGUUUUUCUUCUCUUUUAGUUUCAUGGCCCUAGGGCAAAAUCCAAAUUGUUGGUCUUUCCGUGGAACCUUGAAAGAUACGGAGUAACUUUGAUGUGCCUUACUCUUUGAUGGCACUGGUUUCCACCGAAUGGUGGUUUUCAUAUGAUAUUUCCAGUGAUAGCUGUGACCAGAAACCACGUUUACUCAUUAAUGUGGACAUGUGGUCUAAUCUGGAGCUAUAUAUUUAGUUGAAUUACUAUCGUUUCAGUUUAGCGAAUAUACAACAAAGAAGUUCAAAAUAUGUCUGUUCGACCUCCUCGCACAUCAGGUUGACUGGAGUCGCAGAAAGUAAAUUUUUUUCAAUCUAUGCGCAAAAAAGAAAAAGAAUAAAAGUGUUUUCAACCAAUUCGAAGUACUUCUCGUUUGGUCUUGUUUUGGACUAACAAAGCAACCAAAGGCGCGUCCAUCAACAAAACUGAUAUUAGUGUCAAAAUCGUUUUUAUAUUGUAGGACGGAGGCAGUAAAUGGAUUGAUUGCUUGAUGGCGCCUUGAGUACAGAUUUCUUUUGAGGCGUACGCCUUGAGUACAAAUAUGAUCAUACGAGGAUUCAUCUCGUGUAUCACUUUAAAAAGUGCCGUAGACUGAAGAAAUUCAACAUGUUUGUGUUGAGCCCGUGGGUUGAAAUUCAACAUGUGAUUACUGAAGACUGGUAGAAAGCACUCCAGUGUGGAGCAUGCACUUUGUGGUUAUGAAUGAAUUGAGAUCAGGACUCACUAGUAGAAAACAUGGCUAUAGUCCCGGUUGAUAAGGGCCUAUAAUCUAGGUUCUCCAACCGGGACUAUUAACUUGGGACAAAAGACCCCCCCCCCCCCGAGUCCCGGUUUGCCACCCUCCACGUGGCUGCUGGGGCUCGAGGACCUUUAAUCCGGGUUGGUGUUACCAACUUGGACUAAAAAAAAUCAUUUUUUCUUUUAAAAUCAUUUUUUUCGAAUUUACUCUCUAAUCACCCCUCCUCACUACUCCAGCGUGGAGCACUCAUUUUAACUCGUCUAACUUCCUAGCCAAUCACUCACCCCACUCUUGGAAAUAUGCCCUAGAGGCAAUAAUAAAUUAGUUAUUAUUAUAUUUCUUUGUUCAUGGUAAUCUUUUAUUAUCCAUGCUAUAAUUGUAUUGAUUGGAAACACAGUGCAUGUGUGGAUACAUAGCCAAAACACUAUCCCUAGUAAGCGUUGACUAGCUCAUUGAUCAAAGAUGGUCAAGGUUUCCUGACCAUAGGCAAGUGUUGUCACUUGAUAACGGGAUCACAUCAUUAGGAGAAUCAUGUGAUGGACUAGACCCAAACUAAUAGACGUAGCAUGUUGAUCGUGUCAUUUUAUUGCUACUGUUUUCUGCGUGUCAAGUAUUUAUUCCUAUGACCAUGAGAUCAUAUAACUUACUAACACCGGAGGAAUACUUUGUGUGUAUCAAACGUCGCAACGUAACUGGGUGACUAUAAAGAUGCUCUACAGGUAUCUCCGAAGGUAUUCGUUAAGUUAGUAUGGAUCGAGACUGGAAUUUGUCACCCCGUGUGACGGAGAGGUAUCUCGGGGCCCACUCGGUAAUACAACAUCACACACAAGCCUUGCAAGCAAUGUGACUUAGUGUAAGUUGCGGGAUCUUGUAUUACAGAACGAGUAAAGAGACUUGCCAGUAAAUGAGAUUGAAAUAGGUAUGCGGAUACUGACGAUCGAAUCUCGGGCAAGUAACAUACCGAAGGACAAAGGGAAUGACAUACGGGAUUAUAUGAAUCCUUGACACUGAGGUUCAAACGAUAAGAUCUUCGUAGAAUAUGUAGGAUCCAAUAUGGGCAUCCAGGUCCCGCUAUUGGAUAUUGACCGAGGAGUCUCUCGGGUCAUGUCUACAUAGUUCUCGAACCCGCAGGGUCUGCACACUUAAGGUUCGACGUUGUUUUAUGCGUAUUUGAGUUAUAUGGUUGGUUACCGAAUGUUGUUCGGAGUCCCGGAUGAGAUCACGGACGUCACGAGGGUUUCCGGAAUGGUCCGAAAACGAAGAUUGAUAUAUAGGAUGACCUCAUUUGAUUACCGGAAGGUUUUCGGAGUUACCGGGAAUGUACCGGGAAUGACGAAUGGGUUCCGGGAGUUCACCGGGGGGGCAACCCACCCCGGGGAAGCCCAUAGGCCUUUGGGGAGACACACCAGCCCUUAGUGGGCUGGUGGGACAGCCCACAGGUGCCCUAUGCGCCAAGGAGAAGAAAAUCAAGAGAGAAAGAAAAAAAAGGAGGAGGUGGGAAGGAAGGGGGACUCCCUCCCACCAAACCUAGUCCAACUCGGUUUGGGGGGGGGGAGAGUCCUCCCCCUUGGCUCGGCCGACCCCCUUGGGGCUCCUUGAGCCCCAAGGCAAGGCCCCCUCCCUCCCACCUAUAUAUACGGAGGUUUUAGGGCUGAUUUGAGACGACUUUUCCACGGCAGCCCGACCACAUACCUCCACGGUUUUUCCUCUAGAUCGCGUUUCUGCGGAGCUCGGGCGGAGCCCUGCUGAGACAAGCUCAUCACCAACCUCCGGAGCGCCGUCACGCUGCCGGAGAACUCUUCUACCUCUCCGUCUCUCUUGCUGGAUCAAGAAGGCCGAGAUCAUCGUCGAGCCGUACGUGUGCUGAACGCGGAGGUGCCGUCCGUUCGGUACUAGAUCGUGGGACUGAUCGCGGGAUAGUUCGCGGGGCGGAUCGAGGGACGUGAGGACGUUCCACUACAUCAACCGCGUUCACUAACGCUUCUGCUGUACGGUCUACAAGGGUACGUAGAUCACUCAUCCCCUCUCGUAGAUGGACAUCACCAUGAUAGGUCUUCGUGCGCGUAGGAAAAUUUUUGUUUCCCAUGCGACGUUCCCCAACAGUGGCAUCAUGAGCUAGGUUCAUGCGUAGAUGUCUUCUCGAGUAGAACACAAAAGUUUUUGUGGGCGGUGAUGUGCGUUUUGCUGCCCUCCUUAGUCUUUUCUUGAUUCCGCGGUAUUGUUGGAUCGAAGCGGCUCGGACCGACAUUACUCGUACGCUUACGAGAGACUGGUUUCAUCGCUACGAGUAACUCCGUUGCUCAAAGAUGACUGGCGGGUGUCAGUUUCUCCAACUUUAGUUGAAUCGGAUUUGACCGAGGAGGUCCUUGGAUGAGGUUAAAUAGCAACUCAUAUAUCUCCGUUGUGGUGUUUGCGUAAGUAAGAUGCGAUCCUACUAGAUACCCAUGGUCACCACGUAAAACAUGCAACAACAAAAUUAGAGGACGUCUAACUUGUUUUUGCAGGGUAUGCUUGUGAUGUGAUAUGGCCAACGAUGUGAUGUGAUAUAUUGGAUGUAUGAGAUGAUCAUGUUGUAAUAGUUAAUAUCGACUUGCACGUCGAUGGUACGGCAACCGGCAGGAGCCAUAGGGUUGUCUUUAUAACUAACGUUUGUGCUUGCAGAUGCGUUUACUAUUUUGCUAGGACGUAGAUUUAGUAGUAAUAGCAUGAGUAGCACGACAACCCCGAUGGCGACACGUUGAUGGAGAUCAUGAUGAUGGAGAUCAUGGUGUGACGCCGGUGACAACAAGAUCGCGCCGGUGCUUUGGUGAUGGAGAUCAAGAAGCACGUGAUGAUGGCCAUAUCAUGUCACUUAUGAAUUGCAUGUGAUGUUAAUCCUUUUAUGCACCUUAUUUUGCUUAGAACGACGGUAGCAUUAUGAGGUGACCUCUCACUAAAAUUUCAAGACGAAAUUGUGUUCUCCCCGACUGUGCACCGUUGCUACAGUUCGUCGUUUCGAGACACCACGUGAUGAUCGGGUGUGAUAGACUCAACGUUCACAUACAACGGGUGCAAAACAGUUGCGCACGCGGAACACUCGGGUUAAGCUUGACGAGCCUAGCAUGUGCAGACAUGGCCUCGGAACACAUGAGACCGAAAGGUCGAGCAUGAAUCGUAUAGUUGAUAUGAUUAGCAUAGAGAUGCUUACCACUGAAACUAUUCUCGACUCACGUGAUGAUCGGACUUGAGAUAGUGGAUUUGGAUCAUGUACCACUCAAAUGACUAGAGAGAUGUACUUUUUGAGUGGGAGUUCUUAAGUAAUAUGAUUAAUUGAACUAAUUGUCAUGAACAUAGUCUAAUGGUCUUUACGAAUUACGAUGUAGCUUGCGCUAUAGCUCUACUGUUUUUAUAUGUUCCUAGAGAAAAUUUAGUUGAAAGUUGAUAGUAGCAAACUUUGCAGACUGAGUCUGUAAAACCGAGGAUUGUCCUCGUUGCUGCACAAAAGGCUUAUGUCCUUAAUGCACCACUCGGUGUGCUGCACCUCGAGCGUCGUCUGUGGAUGCUGUGAACAUCCGACAUACACGUUUCUGAUGACUACACGAUAGUUCAGUACAAAAAUACUUAAUGGCUUAGAGGCAAGGCGUCGAAAACGUUGUAAAACGUCACGGAACAUAAGUGAUGUUCUAAAGAGAUGAAAUUGUGAUUUCAUGCUUGUGCGCUUGUUAAGAGGUACGAGACCUCCGACAAGAUUCUUUGUCCACAAAGUAAAGGAGAAAGGCUCAAUCGUUGAGCAUGUGCUCAGAUUGUCUGAGUACGACAAUCGCUUCAAUCAAGUGGGAGUUAAUCUUCCAGAUGAGAUAGUGAUAGUUCUCCAAAGUCACUGCCACCAAGCUGUGAGAGCUUCAUGAUGAACUAUAACAUAUCAAGGAUACAUACAAUGAUCCUUGAGCGAUUCGCGAUGUUUGACACUGCAAAAGUAGAAAUCAAGAAGGAGCAUCAAUAGUUGAUGGUUUGUAAAACCACUAAGUUUCAAGAAAGGCAAGGGCUAGAAGGGAUACUUCGUGAAACAGCAAAACAGUUGCUGCACUAAUGAAAAGACCCAAGAUUAAACCCAAACCCGAGACUAAGUGCUUCUGUAAUGAGGGGAACAGUCACUGAGGCGGAGCAACUCUAGAUACUUGGUAGAUAAGAAGCUGGCAAAAGUCGAAAGAAGUAUAUUUGAUAUACGUGAUGUUGAUGUGUACUUUACUAGUACUCCUAGUAGCAUGAGGGUAUUGGAUACCGGUUCGUUUGCUAAGUGAUUAGUAACACGAAAUGAAAGCUACGGAAUAAAUGGAGACUAGCUAAAGGCGAGGUAACGAUACGUGUUGGGAGUGUUUCCAAGGUUGAUAUUAUCAAACGUCGCACACUCUCUCUAUCAUCGGGAUUGGUGUUAAACCUAAAUAAAUGUUAUUUGGUGCUUGCGUUAAGCAUGAACAUGAUUGGAUCGUGUUUAUUGCAAUACGAUUAUUCAUUUAAAGAGAAUAAUGGUUACUCUAUUUUCUUGAAUAAUCACCUUCAAUGGUUUAUUGAAUCUCGAUCGUAGUGUUACACAUGUUCAUGAUAUUGGUGCCAAAAGAUACGAGGUAAUGAUGAUAGUACCACUUACUUGUGGCACUGCCGCUUGAGUCAUGUUGUUAUAAAUUGCAUGAAGAGGCUCCAUGCUGAUGGAUCUUUGUACUCACUUGAUUUUGAAUCACUAGUGACAUGCAAAUCAUACCACAUGAGCAAGACCUUGUUUUCAUUGAGAUGAAAUAAGAUAGUAACUUGUUGGAAGUGAUACAUUUUUUGAUGUUUGUAGUCCAAUGGGUGCUGAGGCACGCAGUGGAUAUCAUCAUGUUCUUACUUCAAUGACGAUUUCAGUAGAUACUAGAGUAUUUACUUAAUGAAUCACAAGUUUGAAAUAUUGAAAAGUUCAAUUCUGUUUCGGAGUGAAGUUCGUCGUAACAAGAGGAUAAACUGUCUACGAUAUGAUCAUAGAAAUGAAUAUCUGAGUUACGAGUUUUGGUACGCAGUUAAGACAAUGUGGAAAUUGUUUCGCAGUUCAUGCCACCUAGAACAUCAUAGUGUGAUGAUGUGUCUGAACGUCAUAGCCACACACUAUUUGGUAUGGUGCAUGCUAUGAUGUCUCUUAUCGAAUUACCACUAUCGUUUAUGGGUUAUGCAUUAGAGACAACCGCAUUCACUUUAAAUAGUGCACCGCGUAUUUCCGUUGAGAUGACACAGUAUAGACUGAGGCUUAGAGAAAUCUAAACUGUCGUUUCUUGAAAGUUUGGGGCUUCGACACUUAUGUGAAAAAGUUUCAGUCUGAUAAGCUCGAACCCAAAGAGGAUAAAUGCUUCUUCAUAGGGUAUCCAAAACAGUUGGGUACAUCUCCUAUCUCAGAUCCGAAAGCAAAGUGUUUGUUUCUAGAAACGGAUCCUUUCUCGAGGAAAGGUUUCUCUCGAAAUAAUUGAGUGGGAGGGUAGUAGAACUUGAUGAGGUUAUUGAACCAUCACUUCAACCAGUGUGUAGCAGGGCGCAGGAAGUUGUUCCUGUGGCGCCUACACCAAUUGAAGUGGAAGCUGAUGAUGGUGAUCAUUGAGCUUCGAUUCAAGUUACUACAAACCUCGUAGGUCGACAAGGUCGCGUACUGCUACAGAGUAGUACGAUAACCCUGUCUUGGAGGUCAUGUUGUUGAGCAACAGUGAACCUACGAGUUAUGGAGAAAGCGAUGGUGGGCCCAGAUUCCGACAAAUGGCUGGAAGCCAUGAAAUCCGAGAGAGGAUCCAUGGAUGAAAACAAAGUGUAGACUUUGGAAGAAUUACUUGAUGGUCAUAGGACUAUUGAGUAAAGAUGGAUCUUUAAAGGAAGACAGACGAUGAUGGUGAUAAGUCACUAUUAAGAAAAGCUCGACUUGUCGCAAAGAUGUUUUUCGACAAGAUCAAACAGUUGACUAUGAUGAGACUUUCUCACUCGUAGCGAUGCUAAAGGUCUGUUAGAAUUAUGUUAGUUGUUGAUGCAUUAUUUAUGAAAUAUUGCACGUAGGAUGUCAAAACAUUGUUUUCUCGACGGUUUCCUUGAGCAAACAUUGUAUGUGAUACAACCAGAAGGUUUUGUCGAUCCUAAAGAUACUAGCAAGUAUGCAAGAUCCAGUAAUCCUUCAAUGGACUGGUGCAAGCAUCUCGGAGUUGGAAUAUACACUUUGAUGAGAUGAUCAAAGAUUUUGGGUUUGUACAAGGUUUAUGAGAAACUUGUAUUUCCAAAGAAGUGAGUGGGAGCACUAUAGAAUUUCUGAUAAGUAUAUGUGGUUGACAUAUUGUGGAUCACAAGUAAUAUAGAAUUUCUGUAAAGCAUACAAGGUUGUUUGAAAGGAGUUUUCAAAGGAAUACCUGGAUUGAGCUACUUGAACGUUGAGCAUCAAAGAUCUAUGGAGAUAGAUCAAAAGCGCUUAAUGGAAGUUUCAACAAGAUGCAUGCCUUGACAAGUUUUUGAAGGAGUACAAAAUAGAUCAGCAAAGAAGGAGUUCUUGGUUGCGUUGUAAAGGUGUGAAUUUGAGUAAGACUCAAAACCCGACCACGGCGGAAUAAAGAGAAUAGACGAAGGUCGUCUUCUAUGCCUUAGCUGUAGACUCUAAAGUAUGCCAUGCUGAGUACCGCACCUGAUGUGUGCCUUGCAGCAAGUCUGUACACAGAGUGAUCCAGGAUUGAAUCACUGAUCAACGGUCAAAGUUAUCCUUAGUAACUAAAUAGACUAAGGAAUUUUUCUCGAUUAUGGAGGUGGUUAAAGAGUUCGUCGUAAAGGGUUACGUCGAUGCAAGCUUUGACACUAAUCCGAAUAACUAUGAGUAGUGAAACGGAUUCGUAUAGUAGAGUAGAUAUUUGGAGCAUUUCCGAAUAGCACGUAGUAGCAGCAUCUAUAAGAUGACAUAAAGAUUUGUAAAGAACGCACGGAUCUGAAAGUUUCAGAACCGUUGACUAAAACCUCUCUCACGAGCAAGAGGUGAUCAGACCCCAGAACUAUAUGGGUGUUGGAUUCGUUGAAAUCACAUGGUGAUGUGAACUAGAUUAUUGACUCUAGUGCAAGUGGGAGGCUCUUGGAAAUAUGCCCUAGAGGCAAUAAUAAAUUAGUUAUUAUUAUAUUUCUUUGUUCAUGGUAAUCUUUUAUUAUCCAUGCUAUAAUUGUAUUGAUUGGAAACACAGUGCAUGUGUGGAUACAUAGACAAAACACUGUCCCUAGUAAGCCUCUAGUUGACUAGCUCAUUGAUCAAAGAUGGUCAAGGUUUCCUGACCAUAGGCAAGUGUUGUCACUUGAUAACGGGAUCACAUCAUUAGGAGAAUCAUGUGAUGGACUAGACCCAAACUAAUAGACGUAGCAUGUUGAUCGUGUCAUUUUAUUGCUACUGUUUUCUGCGUGUCAAGUAUUUAUUCCUAUGACCAUGAGAUCAUAUAACUUACUAACACCGGAGGAAUAAUUUGUGUGUAUCAAACGUCGCAACGUAACUGGGUGACUAUAAAGAUGCUCUACAGGUAUCUCCGAAGGUGUUCGUUAAGUUAGUAUGGAUCGAGACUGGGAUUUGUCACUCCGUGUGACGGAGAGGUAUCUCGGGGCCCACUCGGUAAUAUAACAUCACACACAAGCCUUGCAAGCAAUGUGACUUAGUGUAAGUUGCGGGAUCUUGUAUUACAGAACGAGUAAAGAGACUUGCCAGUAAACGAGAUUGAAAUAGGUAUGCGGAUACUGACGAUCGAAUCUCGGGCAAGUAACAUACCGAAGGACAAAGGGAAUGACAUACGGGAUUAUAUGAAUCCUUGGCACUGAGGUUCAAACGAUAAGAUCUUCGUAGAAUAUGUAGGAUCCAAUAUGGGCAUCCAGGUCCCGCUAUUGGAUAUUGACCGAGGAGUCUCUCGGGUCAUGUCUACAUAGUUCUCGAACCCGCAGGGUCUGCACACUUAAGGUUCGACGUUGUUUUAUGCGUAUUUGAGUUAUAUGGUUGGUUACCGAAUGUUGUUCGGAGUCCCGGAUGAGAUCACGGACGUCACGAGGGUUUCCGGAAUGGUCCGGAAACGAAGAUUGAUAUAUAGGAUGACCUCAUUUGAUUACCGGAAGGUUUUCGGAGUUACCGGGAAUGUACCGGGAAUGACGAAUGGGUUCCGGGAGUUCACCGGGGGGGCAACCCACCCCGGGGAAGCCCAUAGGCCUUUGGGGAGACACACCAGCCCUUAGUGGGCUGGUGGGACAGCCCACAGGUGCCCUAUGCGCCAAGGAGAAGAAAAUCAAGAGAGAAAGAAAAAAAAGGAGGAGGUGGGAAGGAAGGGGGACUCCCUCCCACCAAACCUAGUCCAACUCGGUUUGGGGGGGGGGAGAGUCCUCCCCCUUGGCUCGGCCGACCCCCUUGGGGCUCCUUGAGCCCCAAGGCAAGGCCCCCUCCCUCCCACCUAUAUAUACGGAGGUUUUAGGGCUGAUUUGAGACGACUUUUCCACGGCAGCCCGACCACAUACCUCCACGGUUUUUCCUCUAGAUCGCGUUUCUGCGGAGCUCGGGCGGAGCCCUGCUGAGACAAGCUCAUCACCAACCUCCGGAGCGCCGUCACGCUGCCGGAGAACUCUUCUACCUCUCCGUCUCUCUUGCUGGAUCAAGAAGGCCGAGAUCAUCGUCGAGCCGUACGUGUGCUGAACGCGGAGGUGCCGUCCGUCCGGUACUAGAUCGUGGGACUGAUCACGGGAUAGUUCGCGGGGCGGAUCGAGGGACGUGAGGACGUUCCACUACAUCAACCGCGUUCACUAACGCUUCUGCUGUACGGUCUACAAGGGUACGUAGAUCACUCAUCCCCUCUCGUAGAUGGACAUCACCAUGAUAGGUCUUCGUGCGCGUAGGAAAUUUUUUGUUUCCCAUGCGACGUUCCCCAACACCCACUCAUUUCAAAUCAUCUAACUUCACGACCGGUCACACAUCGUCUCACUAAUCCAGCCCAAACACGCUUAACUUUCCGGUUCUAUCUCAACUAGUUUCCAAGUCUUCAUUUGUUGUUUUCUUGACAAUAUUAAGCUUCAAUCCUAUUAACCCUUAGAUCUUGAUGUCACAUGAUUUAAUUUUUUGAAUUCUAAGCAAUUAUUAAAAUAAAAAUCAAUGAUUAAUAAACAACAAUAGUUAAUUUAAAAACUUCAAAAAAGGCAAAAAUUUCAAAACAAAACUCAAAUAAUUCUAAAAAAGCAAAGAAAUCCAAAAAUCCAAAAUAAUUAAAGAGUUCAAAAUAAGUAAUAACAAUAAUAAUAUUGAAUUUCAAUGAAAAUCAAAUAAGUAAUAAUAUUAUUUUAUACAUUUUUUGCCAUAUAUUCAUUUAAUAUGGCAUAAUUAAUAUCUUUAAAUCUAUAAAUCGAAAUUCGACAAAUAAUAUAUCCAUUAUUAUGAGAAAAAUGUGAGGAAUCCAAAUAUGACACCCUUUUUAAAAUAAAAUUAGAAACAACAAACAUAGAAAUAAAGUAAUAUUAACUAAUUACAAAAACAAAAUUAUUGUCAAACAAUAGAAACUAAAGUUAAUUAUAUUAAAGUAGGAAAAUAGUUACUUUUUAAUAUAGCAAAACUAAUUCUACCAACUAAAGUGCCAAUUUUCAACCUUUUCACUGUUCAUUUGUAUUGCUUUUUAAUUUCAGGGUCAUUUAGCUCAAAAAACCAUUAAAUGCAUGAAAAGUAGCAAAUAAAGUUAGAAAGGGUUGAAGAUGUGGCUUAGAAUGUUGCAUAUUGAAUGCACAAAAAGUCUGGAGUUGAAAUAAGUUUGAAAAAAUGAAAUGUCUUUGUAACAGCUGAGUUUCGUCUGAAACCUUCAUACUACGAAGGAGAUGGUCCAGUUUGUACACGAAGUGCAUCCAGUUUUUGCUGUAACCCUCUGAACUUUUUAGCACAUGCUAUGUGGUAGAAAUGAUGAUACCAUGCCAGAUUUCAACCUUUUCAGUGUUCAUUUGUAUUGCCUUUUUAAUUUCAGCGUCAUUUAGCUAAAGAAAAUAAUUAAAUGCAUGAAAAGUAGCAAAUGAAGUUAGAAAGGGCUGAAAUUUGAAGAUGUGGCUUAAAAUGGUGCAUAAUGAAUGCACAAAAAGUCUGAAGUUGAAAUAAGUUUAAAAAAAUGAAAUGUCUUUGUAACAGUUGAGUUUUCGUCUCAAAACCCUCAUACUUCGAAGGAGAUGGUCCAGUUUAUACACGAAGUGCAUCUAGUUUUUGUUGUAACCCUCUCAACUUUUUAUCACAUGCUAUGUGGUCGAAAUGAUGAUACCAUGCCAAGUUUCAACAUUUUUAGUGUUUAAUUUGUAUUGCUUUUUAAUUUCAGGGUCAUUUAGCUCAAAAAAUCAUUAAAUGCAUGAAAACUAGCAAAUGAAGUUAGAAAAGGUUGAAAUUUGAAGAUGUAGCUUAGAAUGGUGCAUAGUAAAUGCAUAAAAAGUCUGGAGUUGAAAUAAGUUAAAAAAAUGAAAUGCCUUUGUAAGAGAUGAGUUUUUGUGUGAAACCCUCAUACUUCGAAGGAGAUGGUCUAGUUUGUACACGAAGUGCAUCCAGUUUUUGCUGUAACCCUCUCAACUUUUUAUCACAUGCUAUGUGGUCGAAAUAAUGAUACCAUGCCAAGUUUCAACCUUUUCAAAGUUCAUUUGUAGUGACAACAAUUAAAAAGAACAAUUAAAUGACUAAAACAACUAUAUAAGAAAAACACUACUGUUUUAAUUAAAAUCCUAAUUUAAAUUAUUCUAAAAAUAACCAAAUAAAUCAUAUCGUGACAACAAUCUAACAUGUGACUAGGAGCAAAAAGAAUUAAAUUAGAAUUAUUUUUAAACUUAAGUUAUUCACAAUCUUGGGUUUGAAGCAAAUUUAAACAAAUUCAAAUAUAAACCAUUCAAAUUUGAAAACUAAGGCACUAGCAGAAACUAGACAAAAUUUUGAAUAUAAUGCAAAAAAGAAGGGGGGGGGACUCAAAAACAUCAAUUAUCCUACAAGAUAUAAGGAAUUUAAAACAGAAACUAAAACAGACAACAAAUAGAUAAAUAGAAAAGAAACUUUCAAAACCCUUUAGUCCGGGUUGGUAUCUCCAAGCGGGACUAAAGGUUAGACCCCCUUUAGUCCCGGUUUGUAUCACCAACCGGGACUAAAGGUCUAUCUCUAGUCCAAGUUGGUGAUACCAACGUGGACUAAAGGGGCUCGUGGGGGCCCCAGCCUGACGCCAGCCUGCCACCACCCCUAUAAUCCCGGUUGGUAACACCAACCGGGACUAGAGGUCACAAAUAAACCGGGACUAAAGCCUAGCUGUUGGAACCGAGACUAGAGGUCACAUUAGUCCCGAUCCAAAUUCCAACCAGGACUAAUGCUCCAAACGAAAGGUCCUUUUUCUAGUAGUGACUGAUUGAUGCUUGUGUUGAUGAUAGGAAGAGUGGGACUGGGAGGAGGUUAUAUAGAGGAAUGUACUUUGAAGGUUGUACGGUAAAAGUUGAGUAUAGAGUGGUAGAACAAGAUACUAUCCAGUAUUAGCAACAGUGAGGGAGCGUAAACCAAAUAUUAGGGGGAGGGGACAAAUAAGUGAAUGUAACAAAGAAAAGGAUAGAGUGAUCAGAGAGCCGGAUGAUUAGUAGAGUGAUCAGCUGAAGGAUAGGCUUAUUUGGUAGAAUUUCUUCUAGGAAGGGGGUGGGGGCAAGGCCCACAAUUGUGCCCAAGAUGCUACGCUACUGAUUAGCAAUGCUUUUACCCUCCUCAAAAGCUAAGAAAAGAGUAGGCAACAUUUUCAUCUUGGAGCUUGCUCGGUACACUGUCUAGCUCCAUGCACCCGCACCCCAGGCGCUUCAAAAAGUCUCCAUCCUUACGGGGUGGGGAUUCAUUCAUAAAGCUCUAGUCCAAAAUCUUGUCAAAACUUCGACCAUUCCCUCCUACCAGGAGCCAUGUGGCGGCCACCAGCCAGUCCUAUGUCGCCGUCAUGUCCCCAUGCCUCCCCCCUCACUAGGCCCGGCCCCGAGGGGGGGGGGGGAGGGGGUGGCCGCCCCAGGCCCCCAAAACGAAUGGGGGCCCAGCCUAGGUGUAUGCUAACAUGGAACUCUGUCAUUAGUCUAGUCCCAAUGCUCCACCUUGUAUAGGUGCUAAGGCUACCACAUAGGGGAGAAAUCUGAUGUGGCAAGAUUAAUAGGAGAGAGAUGAAUGUGGUGAUCCCAAGAAGAAACAAUGCUAAGUGUGUGAACCUAGGUAAAAUAAUUAAAUAAAAGAAAUGCAUCAAUGCAUGCACAACUUUAGUUGAAAAACAUUAAAUAAGGAGGCUUAGCUACAAUAAGCUAAACAACUAUGCAUCGGGUACUUUAGUUGCUAAACUAUUUAAUAUACUUAGCACCUUACCUUAGCACCAAUGCAUUGGAAGCGACCUUAGAGCGCUAAUAAAUCUGACUCCGUCUCCACUCCCCAGGAAGAAGAAGGACGAAUUGUUUUUCCUCUAGCGACAGGAAGCCGAGCGGGUUUUUAAUGAAAUGGGUUAAGCAGGAAUUGAAGUCGUCCACUCCUCAACAAAAAAAGGAAUUGAAAUCUCCCACCCCUCAAUAAAAAAAGGAAUUGAAGUGUCAUUCCCUAAAAAAGGAAUUGAAGUCUCCCUCAACACUAUACGUGUGUCAACCAUCACUCCAGAAAAGAAAAAACAUGCGUGCGGUCGCUUGCAGCGGCACGUUGGGUCCAACACAAGUUUUGUUACACACAUGACAAUAUAGAAAUUAUGCCAACUUUAUUUAGUUAUGUACAUUUUUUAUAUCCUACUUUGGUUAUAUUUUGUUCUUAUAAACUGAUUGUAGUUGCUAUUCUGUUGAUCAUACAUUUUUUUAGAUUAUCUUAAUUAUAUAUAUUAUGUCAAAGAUUUUCCUAUUCAUGUUACUGGUUUUGUUAUGAAAAAGAUCAGGUUCAUUCUCAUCACCCCGUACAAGCACGGAUUACCUCGUUGUAUAAUAAAAUUAAUUUGGGUAAAUCCAUCGGAUUACAAGCACGGAUGUAGUAACUUAGAGUUAAUUUUUUAUAAAAAAACAUAGGGAUCACUAUAAUGACAAACCAACUCCAUUUUUGUAAAACUUAUAUUAUUUUUCCAACUAUGUUUGGCACAUUUAAGUAAGUUCAGUUCCAUCCAUAUAAGAGAAAAAAUAGAUGAACAUUCAUAUACAAAAUGAUUUUAUUUAUGCGGCUAUUUUUUUUUCCUUGGAAAAUUUUGCUAUAGGGUUCUAUAACAUAAGCAACUAACAAAUAUCUUAGUACAAAUUUAUGGAGGACAAUUUGUUUAUUUUAGUUGUGAGUAUUAUUUAUCUUAUAUCGAUCAGCUUAUUAAUUGGAAGGAACUAACCGAUUGUACCUAUUAACUGAAUGUCUGAUUUUACUAGUAGAAUGCACGUGCGUUGCCACGGGCAAAAUAUAGGAAAAUAUAUCAGACUGAUGACUAAUUUACAUCACUGAAGUCCUCCAAAUAAAUAUUGAUAUUUAUCAAUUUCUUUAGCGGAUACUAUGAGAGCAACUAUGGGCCAGUCUUUUUUGUAGUAAAUUCCUAUGAUCACCGUCAUCUUCCUCCUUCAGGCACGACCCAUCCUUCAACACUCGUCAUAGCCGGUGCUAAUGUCGUGCGUCAUCUUGACCGAGCCACCUUCUUCGUAGGUCCACCGUUGCCCCUAAACAUCCUUCUAUCCCCUCCCCUCUUCUAAAUUCCAUGCUUGUUGUCGUCUCCCUCCUCCUACACCCCCAUGACCCACAUUUUGACAUUGGUUGCGAUUGGUGCCAAUGUUGUGUGCCACCCACACGAGCCGCCUUCUUCGAUGGUCAAAUGUUGCUCCCGGCCAUACCCCUAACGCCCCCUCUACGAUGCCGAUUAGCACCUACACCGCAUGAGCACAAUGAUAGUAAGACAAUAAAAUACAAUAAACUUCAUCGGAUGGUCUAUAACUUUAUCUUUGCACAUCACGUUUGUCAUAAUUAGUUGAUCCUUAGCAUGACCUAUACAAACAUGAAAAGUAUGACUGAUGGUCUCUCCACAACCUUUUGGGCCAAAAGAACGAGACAAUAAAGAAGCAAGCUGCUGCAAGUAAUUAGUGGAAUGAAUUUAGCUCUCGUGUCAUCACCUUCAUCUGACUAAUUCUGUAGAAGAAUGACCACUGCCUCACAUCAUUAAUUAUUGUUGAAAGUCAUUAAAAUAAUUAACUUCUUUAGGGGUAAAUUAAAAGAAUGAAAUUACAUGCAUCUUCACUGCCCAUGCUAAACUUUAUGUGCACACGACGUGUUUUAGUCAUCUAUAUUGAAUAGUAUAUGCAUCAGUUCAUGGAAGCAUGAACUGAUGAUGCCCAACAUGGGAGGGGGGGGGGGGUCUUCUUUAGAAGAUGAUUGUGGACAUGUUUAUUUUUCUUGCAAUUUUAGAGGCAUGUUGACAGGUUACCAUGGGCGCGGCUCUCCCUAUUCUCAGAAAAAUAUGCAAAUCCUAGAUAAUAAAUACAGGAUGUAGACGCUAGAAUAAAUGUGUUUAAUGUUAAUGUCCUAGUAAACAUCUCGCCACUAUCAACAGUUUUGUUCUACCAGGUGAAAGUACAAAGGAAAUGGCAAGAACUUUAGUCGAGCGCAAAGUAUUUUUGAAAUUGCAGUGUGCAUUGAACGAAGGUGCUUAUCACAAAAUCUUCUUCACUGUACCAGAACCAAUUUUUAAUCUAAUAGUCAAAUCUCCAAGAUGCAAAUAUCCAUACAAAACUAAGAAAACAGAUAUUUGUUAAACAUGAUCCUCGGGAUCAGGGGAUCUUUAAUGUGCAUUACCAUAAUUUGAGGAUUGCAUAUUUAAGAAAUUCCAGCUGUGCAUUUUCUACUAUGAUACAACACUCGCAAUUUUGUCAAGAAACAACAUUUGCACAACCACAAAUCUGACACAAACAUCAGAUACACACCUCUAUUAUAAUCCACUACACCUUGUUUCUCUCUCUCUNNNNNNNNCCUCUUACCUUUUGGCGCCAACAACAUUUCUGUUUCCCGCCUAAAACAGCUCCCCUGCCUGCCUGGCAAGCUAAGGCGUCCAAAAUGGACUAAGGCAACAACCUGGACGCAAAAGCAAAAAACCAAUGUUUGUGUUUUCCUAAAGGCAUGCAUUCAUCUCAUUUUUUUGUCGCCGUGAACUCUUUGGAUAAACACUUCAAUGAAAAAGCAGUGUAGAAAAAAAUGUCACAACGAGAUGAAAGGAGUAGUAGCAAAAAGUACUCCAAAGUGUUAUUAUUAAGGGAAAAAGAACAAGUUCUACCAAUUGUAAUCCACUAUACCAAACGACUGUCAACAUGGCACAGGUGAAUUAAAAAAUUAAUAAGCAAACUGGAAAAUUUCAAAGAUAUAUUCGGAGUUAACGGUGUCAUAGCUUGCACUUGAGACAUGUAAGAACUUCGGUAGUUGCAAAUUUAAUCCAUAGGAAAAAAGAGCCGUAAUUUAUUAUCAUAACAAAUGGAUCUCUAGCAUAACCAUAAAAAGCUUCACAAUUAAAAGUUUAACAUAUGCUAGGAAAAACAUACCUAUUCAAAGUGUUCACUGGAGAAUAUGCAAAUGAUCUCCGAUAUAAAGAAGCAGAUGAAGCAGCAGCCUCAAGUUUUGCUUGAUGCGUGUUCAUGUUCUCAGUUGGUGGUACUCCUGAACUUGGAGUAUCAGCACCUGCAUCCAUUGUGGUCACAUUGAAUUAGGAUUGGCGUAGAAAACUGGUUGCAUAAUGUACUACUGAGCACUGACUAAUAAAAUGGGUUAAAUGGGAAAGUGCAAAACUAAAAACUUAGACCAAUGAAGAGAAGCUUACGAGGCUGAACUCCAGGUUGAGCUCCAUGUUGUCAUGUUGAUGGUACAUGUCCAUUGUCUGGGGGUUAAUUGGAGCUCUACAAGUAUGUUGGCGCUCUAUCCAUGACCUCAAGCCAUGUAUGAGGAACAAGUGCGCACAAAGCAGCUUCUUUAAGGUAGUCAUCUCUUCAUAGAAAAUAAUAUAUGUGAUAUUACUCCUGAAUAUAUAAUGAUUCUAAAUCAUAAACAAGUUCGAUUGCUGAAUCGGUCAAUCAACCAAAACAGUACCAAUGAAAAUAAAUGUAAUAAUCACGCGUCGAGGUCAUCUGAUGUACAGCAUCUGGAAAGCGCUCAUUCAUGUUUGAAGUUAUCUUUCUAUAGCAUACUGUGAAAACGUGAAUUCUGAAAUUGGGGAAGGUCUCAUACAACUCACGAAUCAAGUGCAAUGGGACACCAUAGUUUCUGAGAUAUCAAAAUAACAUAUCAGCCUUAGAAAUUCUAAAGGGGAAAGAUUUUUUGAAAGAACUUACAGGAAGAUCGCUAUGAAAAGAGCAUAAUACGAGUACAGAUUGGUGAUUGCAACAUGUUCCAUCACGAAGCAAACUUAAAAUUAAUCUUGGCAUAGGUCAGGAACAAGUAGUCAAUUACAUGGUCACGAGCUUGAAUCAGGUCAUCUUCGUUCCAAGAAGUUGUGGUCCUCCGAUUUUUGUUGUUGCAAAUUGCGCUAAUCACAUGUCCGAUCAAAAGGCCCUAGAGCUGGAACCGGAUGGUGUUCGAUAACAUCCGGACCUCGAAUCUUGACUUGCGGCAUUCGAUCCAGGAGUACCUCCGAUUGUGGGUGGUCCGGGCCCUUCCCGCACAGAAUGUGCUCCGUUGCUGCUGUGGUGUGAAGCUAUAACUGAUACCCCCCUCGCUCUCUCUCUUUCUGGGCUCUGCAGAGCUAUGUAAUAACCGACCCUGCUGUCCAUUAUUAUUAAUUAUACAAAAAUGAGUGCACGUGGGCAAUCACCACCUGUUGACUGCUAAAAAAAGGCCCUAAAAAAAUCCCAAACAGUAUCAAUAGAUUGAUGUACAGACAUGAACAUAAUUGAAGGGGCAGGGGGACGAACCAGCGGUAGUCUUCUCUUUGUGAUCAUCUGCGUUGGCACCUUCUUGACCCCGUCUUCCGUGAGCAUCCAAUCAAUGUUCAUGUUCAACCUAUUAAUGUGACACACCCAAAGAAAAAACUUCAUCAGUACGUUAGAUUGACUUAAACUAAACAUAGCUUAGUCCAAUAAUAUGCAUAGCUACGGCCUACGAGUCAAAGAUAUGGUCAGUAAUCUCUGCCUAAACCUCUCUGAGCCGAUCCUUGUUAAUGCCUUCCUCCAGCUCAAUGUUCCUGUGCCUCCACAUGUCCUGAACAGCUUGUUAGCAAACUCCUUGGGGUUCUCCAUAACUUGGAUUGAUAAGCAUGUCCAUUAGUCCACCCUCCAACAUAUUAUAACUUUGUCAUACAGUCGAUCAACCGUUUAGUAUGCACUGUUUCAGCUGCCACCGCUGCAGUGGUGAACUCGAUCUGUAGGACAUUUGUCAGAUCUGUUUGGCUCACUGUUGUGUUAUGUUCAAAGAAAUAACAAAAAACAUAUUGGGUAUUCUUGAGAUUUUUAUCUUGAAAGUUUAACAAUUAAAUGGCACCGCAAAAGUAAAUAAAAAGUCUGACACAUUUGCACAAUUUUUGUAUCAUGAAACCUGUAAAAACUCAGUUAGUGGACAAGCAUACAAACUGAAAAUCCUACUGUUUUAUGUAAUCUUCCCAUUCCAUUCGUCAAGGUGAUAGAAGCAACCAUUCUAAUAAAUGGAAUCAAAACUUGGAGACUCCCAAAUAAGAAAAGCACAAGCAUCGAACAAAAUGAGAUGAAACAUACAUAGCAUAAUUUGAUCUGCCCAAUUCACCCAAAGUAAUCGGCCGGUGAUAUAAUCAGUUGUAUCAAUCAAGCAGCUAACAAAUCUAUUUAAUUAACUGUAAAAAGGAGAGAGCAUUCUUAACUGAAAUCACUACCAGACCAGACCAGUAGAGGACCGCUAUCUGUCCUGCACUGCGAUUGACCUAAAGUAACUGUCGGUAGACUGGAUCCUCAUGUUUUGACAGAUCUUCAACAUACUACAGGAGAUAAGAAAAUCUGGUUGUGUACCCAGGACGAGCACAGAGCUGCACCUUGGUCAGGGGCGUCCAUGGGGUGGCAUGAUUGGUAUUGAAUGGCUAGAUGAACAUGCAAACCUCACCGGGGUCAUGCCCCUCUCGAACCUUGAUGAUGGCGAUGGAGAACCUCGGCAUCAGUGUCUCGACGGCGACCUGGAGGCCCGCAAUGAACUCGACGGCGAAUCCUCUAUGAACUCGACGGCAAAUCCUCUAGGAACUCGACGGCAGAUCUCUCUUCUACCUCUACGGUGGCUCCUCUAGCCCUCGUUGCCGCCAAGGAGAUCAACGAUGGCGGCGUGCGAGUAGUUUCCGUCGUCGUGCCAAUCGAUUGGCGGCGUAAGGACCUGCGAUGGCGGCAGGGGCUAGGUCUUGUCAUUGCUGGAUGCGAUCGAGGGAUGCCUCGUUCGCUCCCUGGUUCGUGGGAGACAGCCUCGCUACCGGUUCGUUGUUUUUUUUCUCGUGCGGGGGGCGUUGUUACCUGUUCGUUGGUUUUUUUCUCAUGAGCCGGGCAUCGGGUUUUUUUGGUAGCCAUGGUUGAUCGUACGUGAGCGAGGAGGUGGGAGGAGUGACUAAAAAAACCCACACCAAGGUGGGAAGAUGGACGAAAAAAGACCGGUGAGCGUCGGCUACUAACUGCCUCUUUAGGAGUAGAGAUUCGUUUCUUUUCUCUUUUGGUUUCAUGGCCCUAGGGCAAAAUCCAAAUUAUCGGUCUUUCACUGGGACCUUGAAAUAUAUGGAGUGACUUUGAUGUGCCUCACUCUAUGAUGGCACCGGUUUCCACUGAAUGGUGUUUUUCAUAUGAUAUUUUCAAUGAUAGUUGUGACCAGAAAGCACGUUUACUUAUUAAUGUGGACAUGUUGUCUAAUCUGGAGUUGUACCAUGUUUAGUUGAAUUACGAUUAUGUCAGUUUAGCAAAUAUACACCAAAGAAAUUCAAAAUAUAUUCGUUCAACCUCGUUGCAUAUCAGGUCGGCUGGAGCCAUAUAAAGUACUUUCUUUAACCAAUGCGCAAAAAAGAAGAAGAAGACACAAAGUACUUUCAACCAAUUCGAAGUACUUCUCGUUUGAUCUUGUUUUGGACUAACUAAGAUUUCAGGAAUUUUGAAAUUGGAUAAGUAUCAUAAAUAUUCAGGAAAUCGUGUAAUCUUAUAUUUUGUCCCUCAAAAAAUAUAAUCUUAUAUUUUGACCCUCAAAAAAAUAUAAUAUGAUAUUGUCCCCCUCAAAAUAUGUAAUCUGAUAUUAUUAAAUAGAUUUGUUUUUCCUAAAUUUUAAUUCUUCACACUUAAAAUUCACUUAGUAAAUGUUCACAAAAUUGUUCAUUUUGACCAAUUUUUUUUCUAUAGCUCUUCACUUCCAAAGUUAUUUUGUAUACACAAAAACAAUUCCAAAAAUUAAAUAAUUAUUGUUCAGCAAAUGUCUGAAAUGUUUAUUGUUCUAUGUUCUCAUCUUUCCCAUGUUUUGUCAAAGAAAACAUUGCGGUUAUUGUGCUACCAUGUAUGCAAAACUGCUGCCACAAUAUUGUUAAAACCACUUUCAAUGGGACAAAAUGCAAAAUCUAGACGGUUUUAACACUUGAUAGACAAAUAAUUUUUCAAAUGGUCGCGAACAAAAUCUAGACGAUCGCGGGCGUUGAUUUAUCCACAAUAUCAGGUGCUUCUAGAACCACUCUGCUACUACUACUCUGCUUGUUCACCCCGUACCUGUUGUCGUCAUGUCGUUUUGUUUGUUCGCCAUGGAAUUGGUGGUUUUGACCUUUGGGAGAGUAUGGAUACAACACUCGUGCAGACCGACAAAGAUAAGAUUUGGGAUCUAAUAAAUGGCGCAAUUUUAGUUAGCUCGAUAGUUCAUUUUUUUUCUUCAGAAAAAAGCUUUAUUAAACUUUUAGACCGAUAAGUGUGCUUAAACGGGACCUGGUUUCGGAAUCACACAUAGAUAAAGAUAACAUAAAUAAAAUAGGGAAAUGAAAAUAGUUUUUAGGAAAAAACAUAAAAAUCAGGUAAGAUUUCAGGAAAUUUGAAAAUGGAUAAGUAACAUAAAUAUUCAGGAAAUCAUGAAAUCUGAUAUUAUGCCCCUCAAAAAAUAUAAUAUGAUAUUAUCCCCCUUAGAAAAUGUAACCUGGUAUUAUUCAAUAGAUUUAUUUUUCCUAAAUGUUAAUUCUUCACACUUAAAAUUGACUUAGUAAAUGUUCACAAAUUCGUUCAUUUUGACCAUUUUUUUCCUGUAGCUCUUCACUUCCAAGUUAUUUUGUAUACACAAACAAAUUCCUAAAAUUAAAUAUAUAUUGUUCAGCAAAUGUCUAAAAUGUUGGGGGGGGGGGGGGGGGGUUUAUUGUUCUAUUUUCUCAUCUUUCCCAUGCUUUGUCAAAAAAAAAACAUUGCGGUUAUUGUGCUACCAUGUAUGGAAAUCCGCUGCCAAAAUACUGUUAAAACCACUUUCAGUGGGACAAAAUGCAAAAUCCAGACGGUUUUUACACUUGAUAGAAAAAUAAUUAUUCGGGUUCAAGAUGAGUAACCAAAUUUGAAAUUUGACAAUAGUUGAAGAAUCAUUUUUUUCCUAAGGAAUAAUAUGAAUUUAAUUUCGUUAUUCAAAUUUAUUACUUCAACUUUACGGUAAGACAACCACAAAUAGAUCAAAAUACAAUUCUGGACAAUUUGACACUUGGGAGACAAGAAAUUCCCCUCAUCUUUUGUUUUAUACUUUAGCAAUUGUUGGAGGGAAAUACAUAUUUCAUAAAAGAUAGUAGAAAAAAAUAUAAUCAAUGGUCUUGCAAAUUUAAACAAGGUAACCACUCGUGACAUGUAAAAAUGUUAAUUGUACAAUUUUUUUUGUGAAGCAAUCAAUCACCUUUCCAGUGCGGUAGCCAAAUUUUCUAUAUCAAAAUAACUAGCCCCGCUAACUAUUUCCCUCAACAUGUAAGCAUGCACAAUCCAGCCACCGAGGUUCAAGUCCUCACGGGCGCGAAUUUAGGUUCUUACUUAUUUUAAAAAAAACUCGUUGUAGGGGCUUCCCUUACCGCUUUCCUUAAAAAAAUAUGUAAGCAUGGCACAUCAUUCCAUAACAUGCAUGAAAAAAUGCCCACCCCCAUUAUCAUGUCUCUCAACAUGCAAGCAUGUCACUUCAUCAUUAAACAUGCAUAAAAAAAGACUCAUCUCAACAUGCAAACAUACAUAUUUUUUUAUUCUGUUAUGCUAUUCAAGCUUUAUAAAACCGUAUAGUAAUCAAACAUAAUAUAUUAUAUGUAUUUCCAGUUGUAGAUUUUUGUAUUAUUACUUAGAAUAUUCAUGUUUCAUACAACAAAUCAUGUUGGAUAUAUUGUAAAAUAUUCGGGCAACAACGUGCUGGAUAUCAUUUAGUAUUUUAUAGGUUUCUGCACGAACAUAACUAGGGAAUCUUAUCACCUCACGCUCAUGCUGUGGAUGGGUGACAGUGUGACCACUAAUAUGAGAGCUGGCAAGGGGGGAAACCAGGGGAGCAGGACAUGGUUUCCAGCGCCACAUGCUUCGCUUCGGUAUAGUAUUCCCUCUGUAAACUAACGUAAAAGCGUUUAGAUUAUUAAAGUAGUGUUUUAAAUAUUUUUGUAUUAGUUUACUAAUGUAAAACCAUUUAGAUUAUUAAAGUAGUGUUUUAAAUGCUCUUAUAUUAGUUUACUGAGGAAGUAACACUCACGGGUAUGAUGGUCGGACGAACACAAUAAAAAUGCCGUAUUGUUUUUGUUUGCAGACAAGGUGUGCUAGCUUCGCUAAGCUACUGCAUGCGCUCUCUGCUUCGUCUCUACCGGCCGUAAUAACCUUGUGGACCAGGAUCAAUUUUCUGGGUCUCUGCAUUUGUUCUGCCUGUCGAAGCGGCGAACAGAACGACCAACUCGAAGGAAUAAUCCUCCAAAAGAAUCCUAAGCACACAGACCUGUCUGAACUCUGAAGCAGGGUUAUGUCUGUCAACUCAAAGUGGGGGGAAAUUUCAUCAUCAUCGCAUGGUGAGACAUAUUUACAAUCAGGAGGGAAUUAACCAGCCAAGUCACACGUACGCCACGGUUGUUGCUGGCGGCUGGAGCUAGCAGAACUGCAGAAACACCUCUCGCUAAGCUAGCACUAGUUGGGACCCCAGCAACUGAGGUACAUGACGGUCCUCAGCCCAUCCUCGGCCUUCUCCGCCCGCCGCCUCUCCGACACCGUUGCGGCAGACGCUGGAAGCUGCUUCGUGCUCUGCGAGACGCCACCAUGGACGUUUGCUCUGGCCUUGGCGGUCCUGUGGAUGGACUUGAGCGCGUAGUUCCAGCGGCAGAGGCCGGCCUGGUCCUUGAGGGCCUCCACCGCGCCCACGCUCAUCGCCACCAUCCAUGACGCCUUCGCCGCACCCGCCAUGAUCUCUUGCCCUUCUUCUUUCGCAAAAGUUGAUGGAGAGACUGUCUAAAGGCCGAACUCUGUGAUGCCUGAAGAUUAGGAAGCUGUGGAGUGCAGAACCUGUUGAGCAAGCGAAGAACCGACUGCUUGUGUCGAUGAGAGGAAGAGUGGGAGCCGGAUGGCGUUAUAUACACGGGGAGGGCCGGGGGAAAACAGGUGGCUGGGACGUUGGUUUUCCAGCAUACCGGGUGCUGUAAGGGUCACUUUGCUUGUGUACGCCGGAGCUCUCCCUGUCGUCCCGGUGCAGUGGUUGCCGGCCCACCUCAUGCCGUUUUGUUCAUUGGCUGCAGUUUUGUCCAUUCCGAGAGUUCGGGAUCGGCGCAAUCCGACAGAGAAAAGAUUGGUAUGACGGAUAGAUAACGAUUGUCAUGAUCCGGCGAGCGGAAUCAAAUUGGGUCCUGCGAGUGACAGAUCUCACUUCAAAAUGAAAAUGGAUCCAGUUUACAAGGUAAAUAAGAUCGAAAAUAAAAUACACUGGCCAGUUUAUGAGGAAAACCGGUCGCACCUCUGUUUGUUUACAACAAAUCUCUUUUUCUUUUGAAAUGGCAGUUAUCUUGCUUCGUCAAGAAGAAAAGAGUUGCUCAGUUAAUUAAAAAAAACCGAACGAAAACCAGAUUGUUCAGUUAAUUAUGAAAAAAAAGGCAAAAACCGUUACAAGCACACAAAAAGAACCCACGCACACCACUACAAAGACGAUCUCGGCGAGACAACACGCAGGCGUCAUCGUCAUCACUCCUCCCCUACAUGCGUCCUCGUCAUCCCUACACUCUGAGCAAACGACUCUGACUCCGCCGUAGGCGAUCGUCGACUCAACCCACAGUGAAGAGGACACGUGAAGCUGCAUGAAGAUCUAUGCCAAAAUCUCAACCACCCGCAUCCAAACGAAACAACUCCGACUCUAGCGAAGAGUUCUGCAGGUCAAAACCAGGCACGGCUGGCGCCAAGGGAGAUUGCCGAACGGUCUACCUGCAUCCAGUCAUCGUAUACCACAGGGCACCGCCGCCGCAACUUCGGCUCCAUAUAGCAACAAACAAACCGAGACAGAACCGUGGACACGCCGAAGAAGAGCCGACUACCGCAACCAUUGCCGCGUCGCCCACAUCACUCCCACCAUCAUCGUUGCCACACAAACCUGGACGCCACACCCGCCAAAAACCGCCAUCCACCGGUCCCACUCACCGACGUCAAGCUCCCAUGACGAAGCCCUCAACAGGGAAUACGACACCAAAGUGCCGCCAUCGUCCGAUCAUAGAUCAAGGUUUCCCUCGGACAGGCCGAACUGUCCAGAUCCGUGCAAGAGGGGUGGGAGUACGAAGCAACGAUGCCUCCAAGAAGAUCAACGACGGCCACAGCCGCCGCCAUCGCUGGUCAAGGCACAAGGCCAAGACAUGGUUUUCACCCAGCUCCACACUACCUCAACCGCACAUCAUCCCGUAUUGGCAUCGGCAAGCCCACCAGAAAUCACCACCAUCGAAGCUGCCCAUCGACGAAGAAGCAUCAGGAUCCGUCAUAGCCAGCCGCACCACGCGGAGACCACUGACAGCCGAAGACCAGAUCUGCAAGACACGCCGCCGGAGCGCACUUCCUCGUAACCAUGGGCCUCCAAUCCGCGCACCCCAGGGGCGUCCACGCGAUGCCAGACCGCGCAGACACACACCGGUAGCGCCCCUCGCGGCCAAAGUCGUCGCUGCUUGAGCGCCAAGCAGGCCGCUCAAGCCCCUCCACCUGCAUGUCAAUCAACUAAUAUACUUACACGCUCUUAUAAAUUCGCAAGGAUGUCAUUAAACUAGGAGACGACAUUACCCUGCUAAUGGUACUAAAUUCCCCCUAAAAAGUAGAAAAACAGAAAGCAUGUGUCUUGAACAACGACGGCAGAUUAAGUUGGCUUCUGUUGUUGGAAGAAGUCUUGAUUUUGGCGUGUCAUCGUACCAGCAGAUGGCUCCUGUGGGGCAUUUGAGGCCGGGUGUCCUAUCUUCAUACCAAUUUGUGGUUGUACUAAGACAUUCGGAGCUCGGUGUCCUAUCAUUGUACCAACGGAUGGUUGAAGUGAGGCAGUUGGAGCUUGGUGUCCGAUCAUCGUACCUAUGGAUGACUGCAGUAAGGCAUUCGGAGCAGGGUGUCCUGUCAUCGUACCAAGAGACCGCAAUAGUGAGGCAUCCGGAGCUGAGUUGCAUUGAUCUGAAUAGGUAUACACGUGAUUUGUCGGAACUCCAAAAUGACCCUGUGAGUAGUAGUAGCAAAGGUCAGUGUUCAUAAAGCUUUAAAGAUGACAAGAUUGAAAUCUGAGAGUAGGUAGCUUAUACCAUUAAGCUAUUGUAGUGUUGCAAUUCAGCUGACAAUCUUUGAUCUUGUCCAUACAUCGCCAUAGGAUUCAGGAUUGUGUUGUACUGUGGUAGGUAUGCAGGCAUUUGAUUUGUAAAAACCUUCGAAUGACCCUAUAAAAAUAGUGAGAUAUCUUGUACUAUACUUUAUUUUUUGAUAUCAGAUCAAGUGUGAAUUUAUUUAUACCAUUAGGGUGCCACGAGGUUGUACUGCUACAGGAUUAUCUACUUUCCUUUUCCUCUUUGAUUUUGCUUUCUCUAAGCCACCAAUAGGUCUACUUGCUCCUUCAAUAGUCUUCUCCUUGAACUUCAUACCUUUUGGCUUAGCAAGCCCCUUAUUUUGUUUUGAAUUUGUAGACGAGUUAAUGUUUUUCUGCAAAUACAUAAGUAAGUAAAAUUCAAGUUUGAUUACAUCAUAAAACUACACUCGUAUCAAUGGGUCUACUUGAUCCUUGAACAGUCUUCUUUAACAUUGAUACCUUUUGGAUUGGCGAACCCCUCAUGUUGUUCUGAACUUGUAGAUGAGUUAAUGUUUGGGUCUGCAACUAUAAAAUCAAACAUAGGUUAGUUUGAUAUGAUCAUAAAACUAAACUUACAAACCUUGUCGGGCUGAUACCUAUAUCUGGAAAUCUGUUUGAUCCUCGAGUUGUCCUCUCCUUUACCUUCAUUCCUUUUGGCUUGGUGGGCCUCUCAUUUCGUUAUGAACUUGUAGUCGUGAUAUUGUUUGGGUCUGCAACUACAAAAGUAGAUGUAAGUUUAAGCUUGAUGAGAGCACAAAACUGCAAUUGCCCUCACUUUAUGAACAAAGGGAGUUUCUUACCUAUACUUGGAUCAGAUCUAUGUUUUAGACAUGACUCCACAUCUUCUACUAAUUUCUCUGCACAAUUAGCAGCCAUCAAGUAUGACUCAUCAGAUUCUGCGGCUCGAGCAGCUAUUUGGAUAAACAUUCUGCACAACUCUUUAUAGCGUUUCGUUAGUACUGCUUUGCGGUCUUCAUGCAGGUUGCAGUUUCUUGUUAUAUCCAAAACUUUUGCACCAAUUGUCCAUAUUUUUAAGAUAUAUUGUUGAGGGAUGUGCUUGAUAUUGUUAAUAUCAAGUACCUUCAAGGAAUGAGAGCAAAGAAUUCCAGCAAAUUCAAACUUCUUGCAGCUGCAAUUGACCUUUUCUUCUUUUGGAACAAGUUUAACAACAUGAUCACGCUCUGUACCAUGAAAUUUUACUUUGUAAACUUCUCCUCGGUGUUACUGUCCUCACAAAGGAAUGUUCAUAGUUCAACGUCCGAAGCACUUGUUCCUGAAACAUCUUGAAUAUUGGUGGAGUAUAUGUAGUUGAUGCUUGCCUUAAUAUAUAACUUUCUGCCUUCAGCUUAGGAGUACUUUGUGUUGCUUUGAAGUCACAUCUCACCUCUUCAAAUCUUUUAUCUGCAACUAGACGUUCGAAAUGCUCAAAAAAAGUAAGCAUGUCAUACUUAGAACUAAUGUAACGUUUUAGUUCAUUGUUCAUGCUUUCACUCCUUUGGGUACUACUCAUGUGUGCAGAGAAACUAUUCCUGCCAUACACUAGUGCCCAAUGCUCUCUUUUCUCAAAUAUCCUUUGGAGCCAUGCAUUGUCCCAGAGUUCAUACUUGUCAAGCAUUUCAUUCCAUGCACUUAUAAAUUCAUCUUCCUCCUCAAUAUCAUAGAUACAAUGCUGAAAAUCAGUAUUGAACUUCUUGUAAUCUGUAACAACUCCACCAAGAUGUUUGCAAGCAUUUUGAUUCAUAUGCCACACACAAAGUCUAUGGUGAGAGUGAAGCACGACUGAACGAAUCGCCUUAGUCAUUGCUGCAUCUUCGUCAGUAAGAAUUGUAUGUGGAUGCUUUCCGGACAUUACUGUUAAAAAUGUUUUAAAAAGCCAAGCAAAACUAUCUGCUGUUUCAUCAUAGAGAAGUGCAGCACCAAACACAAUUGUUUUCUUGUGAUUAUUCACACCAACAAUUAAACCAAACGGACACCCAUCAUCUAGUUUUCUGUAUGUGGUGUCAAAGCAUAUGACAUCACCAAAUAAUGCAUAGUCUGAGACCAUUUUGGAGUCCGUCCAAAAUAUAUUAGUCAUAAAAUCAUCCUCAUCAACUUGAAUUGAAUAAAAAAAUUGACAUCUUCUGAAACCUUCUUCUUGUUGGGGAACGUCGCAUGGGAAACAAAAAAUUUCCUACACGCUCGAAGACCUAUCAUGGUGAUGUCCAUCUACGAGAGGGGAUGUGUGAUCUACGUACCCUUGUAGACCGUACAACAGAAGCGUUAGUGAAUGCGGUUGAUGUAGUGGAACGUCCUCACGUCCCUCGGUCCGCCCCGCGAACUAUCCCGCGAUCAGUCCCACGAUCUAGUGCCGAACGGACGGCACCUCCGCGUUCAGCACACGUACAGCUCGACGAUGAUCUCGGCCUUCUUGAUCCAGCAAGAGAGACGGAGAGGUAGAAGAGUUCUCCGGCAGCGUGACGGCGCUCCGGAGGUUGGUGAUGAUCUCGUCUCAGCAGGGCUCCGCCCGAGCUCCGCAAAAAACGCGAUGUAGAGGUAAAACCGUGGAGAUAUGUGGUCGGGCUGCCGUGGCAAAGUUGUAUCAAAUCAGCCCUAAAACCCCACUAUAUAUAGGAGGAGGAGGGGGAGCCUUGCCUUGGGGUCCAAGGACUCCCAAGGGGUCGGCCGAACCUAAGGGGGGAACCCUCCCCUUCCAAACCGAGUCCAACUAGGUUUGGAAGGAGGAGUCCUUCCCCCUUUUCCCACCUCCUCUCUUUUUCUUCUCUUUGAUUUUUCUUCCUAUGGCGCAUAGGGAUCUCUUGGGCUGUCCCACCAGCCCACUAAGGGCUGGUGCGCCACCCCCAAUGCCUAUGGGCUUCCCCGGGGUGGGUUCCCCCCCCCCCCCCCGGUGAACUCCCGGAACCCAUUCGUCAUUCCCGGUACAUUCCCGGUAACUCCGAAAACCUUCCGGUAAUCAAAUUGUUGGAAUUAUGCCCUAGAGGCAAUAAUAAAUAUAGUUAUUAUUAUAAUUCCUGUAUCAAGAUAAUCGUUUAUUAUCCAUGCUAUAAUUGUAUUGAAUGAAGACUCAUUUGCAUGUGUGGAUACAUAGACAAAACACUAUCCCUAGCAAUCCUCUAGUUGGCUAGCCAGUUGAUCAAAGAUAGUCAGUGUCUUCUGAUUAUGAACAAGGUGUUGUUGCUUGAUAACUGGAUCACGUCAUUAGGAGAAUCACGUGAUGGACUAGACCCAAACUAAUAGACGUAGCAUGUUGAUCGUGUCAUUUUGUUGCUACUGUUUUCUGCGUGUCAAGUAUUUGUUCCUAUGACCAUGAGAUCAUAUAACUCACUGACACCGGAGAAAUACUUUGUGUCNNNNNNNNNNNNNNNNNNNNNNNNNNNNNNNNNNNNNNNNNNNNNNNNNNNNNNNNNNNNNNNNNNNNNNNNNNNNNNNNNNNNNNNNNNNNNNNNNNNNUCUAAAUAAAUAUUUUCAGAUCUGAGUAUUUUAUUCAAACAUAAAACNCUAAAUAAAAAUGCACUCCAAGAAUAACACAUAUCAUGUGGACAAAUAAGCACUUAGGAUCAACAUAGGCUAAUCGAUAGUUAUUGACGAAGAGAGGUGGGAUGUGUAGCAUCCCCAUGCUUAGAUGGUUGAAACUUAUUGUAAUAUUUACUUGGUGUGCCUUGGUAAUCCCCAAUCUUGAGCUUUUAUAUCUCGUUCAAUCCUCUCAUAUCCCAGUUUUACCUAAGUCUCAAAAACUUCAUCCACACAAAACUUGAAAAGAACUCGUGAGAUAGGUUAGUACACAUAAAACUAAAUCAACACUUCAUGUACUGCCAAGACAAGUUGCAUAAUAAUUUUCAAACACUAGGUACUGUGUACUAUCAUUUCAAAAAUUUAUGUCAACCAAUAUAAGUCAUGAAAACUCUAGGAUAAGUAGAUAACAAAACUAUGACAACAAUCUGGCCAAACAGAACAGUCUAGAGCAAUCUAUUAAGACAGUGUACUUCUAUAACUCCAAAAAUUAUGAAAAAUUAGGUAAUUAUAAAUAUUUUUUGUUACAGUACUUUGCAAAAUUUGCAAAAACUUUCCAUGUUCCAGUAAAAUCUGUUAAUUCAAAUGCUACAACAAAAGUUUCUGUUUUUGUACAUCACACAUUACACAUGCAAUUCAAGCAUUCUAAAGGCAAUUUUUGGAACUUUUUAUUUGAAAAACAAGAUUAUAAAUAACAUAUAACAUAUAAUAACAAGAUAAAAUGACGCUCCCAGCAAAACACAGAUCAUGUGAUGAAUAAAAGUAUAGCUCCAAGUUAGAUAUACCGAUAGUGUUGGAGACGAAAGAGGGGAUGCCUUCCGGGGCAUCCCCAAGCUUAGACGCUUGAGUCUUCCUUGAAUAUUACCUUUGGGGUACCUUGGGAAUUCACAAGAUUAGUUUAUUGCUAAUCCUUAUUCUCCUUAUGUCGGUAUCUCACCCAAAACUGGAAAACUUCAAUCACACAAAACUUAACAGAACUUUGUGAGAUGGGUUAGUGUAAUAAAGAUAGAUCAUUCACUUAGGUACUGUCAAGACAAGAUUCAUAGUUGUUCUCACAUAAUUCCUACUGUAUUCUAUAAUUCCCAUAAUUUAUGUCACUCAAUAUUAGCUAUGGGUACACUAAAAUAUGCAAAAUGCAUGCAAAACAGAAUCUAAAAAAAACAGAAAAGUCUGUAAAGAUCUGCACAAAUACUAUACUUCCCUUUUUCUAAAAAUUCUAAAACAUUAGGACAACUCAUACAAUUUUCAUCUAAAAACUAUGUAAAAAUUUCAGAAUUUUUAACGUUUCAGUGAAAUCAGAGAAAUUCUGCACUCGAUGUAAACGUAUCUGCUUUUGCAAAUAGUCAAACAACCAAGUAUCCACACUAUCCCAAAGGCUUUACUUUGCACCUUACUGAAAUAAAAACACACAAAACAUGAUUAACACAGUAUAUUAAUCAUGUGAACACACAAAAUCAGUAGGUAAAAGUGCUGGGUUGUCUCCUAACAAGCGCUUUUCUUUAAUGCAUUUUAGCUAGGCAUGGUGAUUUCAAUGAUGCUCGUAUAAAAAUAGUAACUGAGGCAUACAAGAGAGCAUCAUGAAUCAUAUGACAAGAACAUUUAAGUCUAACCUACUUCCUAUGCAUAGGUAUUUUGCAAGCAAACAAUUUAUUGUAGCAAGAAUCAACUAGCAUAUGAAGGCAAAACAAGCAUAACUUCAAAACUUUGAACACAUAGGGAGGAAACUUGAUAUUAUCGCAACACCUACAAGCCUAUUUCCUCCCUCAUAAUAAUUUUCAGUAGCAUCAUGAAGGAAUUCAACAAUAUAACUAUCACAAAAAGCAUUAUCUUCAUGAUCCACAAGCAUAGAAAAUUUAUUACUCUCCCCAUAGGCAAACUUCUCAUACAUAAUAGUGGGAGUAUCAUACGAAACUUGAAUACUAAAAAAUGUUUCCACAUUAAAAGAGUAAUGUUCAUAAAAAUGGUAUUCAUAAUUAUGACAAGUUUUAUAAUAAUAAUCAUCACUACUUUUUAUAACAUAAGUAUCAUCACAAUAGUCAUCAUAAGUAGCAACUUUGUUAUCAUCAUAAUCAAUUGAAACCUCUUCCAAGAUAGUGGAAUCAUUACUAAACUCAUGACCUAUAAAAAUCCACUUUUAUAAUUAUAAUAAGAUUCAACACCCUCCAAAAUAGUGGGAUAGUAAUCAUCUAAAGUUGACACUCUUCCAAACCCACUUUCAUAAAAAAUGCAAUCAUCAUAAAGAGGAGGCAUGCAAUCAUCAUAACAAAUUUGAUCAUUCGAAGUAGGGGGACUAAAAAGAUCAUCUUAAUUAAGAAUAGAAUCCCCAAGCUUGGUACAAACAUUAAUUGGAGAAAAUAUAUUCUCAAACAUAUCAUUCUCAUCACACAUAACAUCCCCAAGCUUGUUGGUUUGCAUAUCAUUAGCAUAAUCACUCUUAUGAUCAAUAGUAAGGAUGACACUAGUAGUACAACAAUUAUUAUCAUCACAAUUUUCCACGUUGGUGCCAAAAAUAAUUUCCAUAUUAUAAGGAGUAUCAUUAUAUUCCCAAUCAUCCUCAUCACAACAAGUAGUAGGCAUAAAAAAUAAUCAUCAAUUGUAUCAUCGUCAACACUACUUUCAUAUUCACUCUCAGCGAUUAUAGGAGCAACACUGUUUAGGAGAGAUACCUUUUUAACUUUACUUUUCCUNNNNNNNNNNNNNNNNNNGCACCACCUUAUGUGUGGGUUUAGGUAAUUUAUCCGACCUUAUUAUUGAAGAUAUGGGAAGCUCCUCCUUGAUUCAUUACGAGAACCAAUAGGAGGGUAUUGGGAUACCUUUACCCUUUCACUAGUAUUCCUGUUAUAUUCUACAUUUUUUCCCGUUUUUCUAUAGUUCGCAAUAUAAGAAUUCGCCCUAUAGNNNNNNNNNNNNNNNNNNNNNNNNNNNNNNNNNNNNNNNNNNNNNNNNNNNNNNNNNNNNNNNNNNNNNNNNNNNNNNNNNNNNNNNNNNNNNNNNNNNNGAUGAUUCAAUCACCAACACACUAAGAAUGAAACUAUCGUCCAUUAACUACCAAGCAACAGAGUUUCUAGGAGUAUUGAUUUCACACAUCACAGUUCACUCAUCGGCAUUCAGGUUAUGACAACAUGGAGACCGAGGAAUGCAUAAUGAUAGUGAGAAGUAUCGCUGCAUCAAAAAUUGUAAGAGGUUGUGCAAUUCUAACGGUACUCAUGACGUAAUGAGGGUAAUACUCCAAGGUAGAACAGAACAAAAUCUGGAUUGGCAUUUUGAUCUGUGGAAUACAACUGCUUUGACCCAAUCCAAGAAUUAGAUGAGGUACUGGAGUUUGUUUCUCGUAGGCAUUCUGAAAUAGAAUGACUUGAUAGACCACAAGAAUAAUAGUCAUCGAUAACACAAAUGCAUGACAUACUCUUGACAAUCCACUAAUAGAUGAAGGCCGGAGUACACCUGAAGAGGGAAAAAAAUCAAAUAACACACAACUUUCCUGAGUUGUAGAUGCAUCGAUUAACACGUCCAGCAAAGUUCAACAUGUUUCUUCCAAGUAAUCCAUGUAGAAAGAUAAAGUCGGUAGAGUCACAAUAUACAACAGAGAACACAUCGGGAGCACUCUUGUUGUGAUAUUUUGGUUCGGGAAGAACUUCUACCAUAAGUAGUUCACGGGUAAGGCAAGGAUGAUAACCCACGAACUUCGAAGACUAGAACAAGGGUUACUAAUAUCCUAAAGGAGCAACAAUCACUACCAAUAGAUAUGAGUGGAUGAAUCUUGGGUUCAACAACCCAUACUUAGAAUACCUACUACUAUACAACAUCAAGGGAUGUUUUCCGGAAUGGUGGCCAGAAUCAACACACUCACGAUACAACACAAAGGCUAAAUCUUUGGGUGGUUCACUUAAGAUAAUGUAGUUUCCUAACACCUUCAACAGAUACGUCAAGGUAAUGGAGUACCUAAACACAACAACUUGUGUUCUUCAUCUGGUCCAAAAGACAUCAAGAACAAGGCGAAAGGAUAUGCAAAUGCAUCACCUUAUUUAGAAACCUUUGAUAACUCGAACAUAAGGUAUAUAUGGGCAUGAAAUAUGGAACUACCUGCAAAACAAUUUGUGUGCUUCAUCUGGUCCAAAAUAUUGAAAUCUUAUGGAAACACCAAUCCAAAAGAAAACAACUUCCAUAUAAGUCUCCAGCNNNNNNNNNNNNNNNNNNNNNNNNNNNNNNNNNNNNNNNNNNNNNNNNNNNNNNNNNNNNNNNNNNNNNNNNNNNNNNNNNNNNNNNNNNNNNNNNNNNNCAAAAUGAUAGCUUCAGUGUGCAGGUCUAAGCACGCUAGCUAAGCAAAUAAAAAGUGGAGAGGUGUGUUAACUACAAUAGGCUUAACAUUUAACAUCAACAAAAUAUAGUAAUUUGAAUUGGGAAGCACACUAGUUAUUGUUACAUAAAAAUGGAAAAGCAUAUGCUCACUACAACAUGCUUAACAACAAGCAAAUAGUCAUUCAUAAUGGUACUCUUGAAAUUGCAUAGAACGUAGCUUGGGAGAAUAUCUAGCACUCCCAUCGAGUGGUGGAGUUUGAGCUAAAAUCAUGGGGGGCAUUGGUGCUUAAACAUCAAAUUGUGUAACUGAAAAUCAUAUUGUGAAAAAACUGAAAUAAACAACGGGGGUGUUAUCUACACGAGGCUUAACAAGAAGCACAUAUGGUUGUUGAAACUAGUAUGAUGAAAUAGAUCUCGANACAUAUAGAACUUCACAAUGUGAAUAACUGAAAUAAACAAGUAAAACUAUAUACCAAUUGAAUCUGGACAUAUGCCCACUACAAACAAUCGAGCAAGAAAAAACAGUUAAACAAGACAUGUGCUCACUACAACAAGCUUAAUAGCAACCGAAAAUAGGCCUUCAUAGUGUAAUGUUGAAAUUGCAUAUAACGUAGCUCCUGCUUAAAUAUCAAAUUGUAUAAUUGAACAUCACAUGUGAUAGAAAUGAAAUAGGUAUUGAUGAAAUUAAGUUGCACGGUCCAUAUAUUCAGCAUGAGUGAAAUAAUUAGACAUGACUUGGGAUUCCUCCGUAUCACACAUGGGAUCCUUCCCGUUAGAAGAGCACGUAUUCUAGGUGUGCUCCUAGUUGUCUCAGAUGUGCUCCUUCCCCUUGGAAGAGCAUGGAUGCAGGGUGCCCUCUCUGAUGUCGAGGAUGGGCUCCUUCGCCUUGGAAGAGCACGGUUGUAGGGUGCUCUCCCCGUCACGGAUGGGCUCUUUCCCCUUGGAAGAGACAGAUAGGGUGCCCUUGUUGGUGUGGUCGAUGAUGGCUGACUUGUCAGCUGACGAUGCCGAGCCACCGCCAUAGAAUGUGUCCGUUAGAAAAGAAAAAAGAGGCUCCAUGGCGAUGAAGGAAGGCAAAUUAUUGAGAGUGAAGCGGAGGAGAUCAGCGGCUGGCCUUGCAUUAGGUCGACGGGGAUUGAAGCCGAGGGGUUGUGGGUGGGCUACUUAACCUGCGAGAUAGACGGCUGCAUCGAUAUGCAUCGAUAUGGGAACCCACUGUCUUGGAGCCUUGACAUCGUCAGAUUCCCCGGAGGCCUCGGAGGUUACCUCUUCAUCAUAGGCAUCUUCUAUGGUGGCCUUAGCGGUCACUUCGGCAUCAUAGUUAGCUUUCCUGCCGACCUCGGCGCACACCUCACCAUCAUCCGGCGACCAGGCCGUGAUAUACCUCGUUUUGGCCAUUCGCUCCUCUAGCUCCCCUAGAAGUGUAGCCGGGAUUAGGUUGUGACGGUCUUUGGUGGGAGAUGGGGAUUUGUGAGGAAGGGUUGUUUAGCACGUGCCAUCUAAGAAAUUUAGGGUGGCGAGGGAACAGAGAUGGGUUGGUAACAUGCAUGGGGAGAGCAGGAGAGGUUGGCAGUGGAAGCGGGCGAGGGAGGCGGCGGCGACUGCAAGCUAGUUAGGGUUCGAUCAAGGGAGGAGUUGUGUAUGGUGGUGGGGGUAUAGGAGGGGCCUAGGUGGUGUUUGCAGAAAUGCCACACCACUAGUAAAUUUCACUUGGAGGAAGUUAAAAUCCGGGACAACAGAUAUUUAUAUGAAGGGUUUGAAGUGGUGUGGGAGGAACAAACAUCGCACACGACCCAAAACUACUACUUGUGUGCAAUUCAAAGAGAAACACCCGCGGAGCCACCAAUUUUUAAAUUGAUCAAGGCGGGUAUAUAUUUUUAAGAUUUCUCUCGACGGGGUUGGUGCAUGGAACACGUUUAGAACGAGGGAACCAUGUCUAUUCGCUCCACAAUCGCCUAGUUGUCUCAUUCGACUUGUCUACUAUUUAUGUUUCAAAAUAAGGACCCAUCUGCCAUUUAUAUAGCAACAUUGGAAAAUAAACACGAGAAAGCUAGGGUCAGAGCACAAACACACCUGCAUGUGGACCAAAUGUAUGGAUGGAAAGGUUGUUCUGAUCUUCAAAUACGGAAUGCACAACUUCGAUGUCACACACAUGUCUCACAGAUAACACUGUAUUGUUGGUCUGUGCGCCCCCCACUUCGAGUCGCCGGGGAGGGAAUGGUAGGUACAAUAUAUGAACAUAUGGAAAAUUGGUAUCCAAUCUCACCCAACCAUAACACACAACCAAUAGGAUCAAUACAUCAUGAUCAGCCCCCCUUGUGAUUUAUGUGGGAGGUAUAAAUUGUGUGGGCCCAUGGAUGGGCGCAUCUCGAAAACUUCACGAGAUGGGUGAGACCACAACGACAUGCAUGUGUCACAAGUAAUUAAAGUGGUGUUAUAUUGCAAUACUAUCGUGGUUUUGUCACGACACAUGUCCUUGUUAAAGGACUUAGGUGUGAGGCCAUCGCAACUAGAUGGCGGCUUGAACGGGGUUGAUCAGAAUCGAGAGACGCGAGUUUACCCGGGUUUGGCCCCUCCGAUGGAGGUAAAAGCACACAUCCCACUUUUGAUGCUAUUAAUGAUUCUCUCAAUUACAAGGGUGCACAAUCACUAACCUACCUCUUGAGGGUUUUUUCUAACUUAUCCUCCCCACCUCAGGGGCUCCCCUUUUAUAUAUAGGUUGAGGUAGUGAGAUUACAACAGAGUCUGGGUCGUAUUACAACCCAUGACUUAUUGCACUUCUAUCAUAGGUACGGGAGAGUUUCCCACGUCUUCCUUCUUAAGCUAGCCCGUCGGGUGGUGGGUUAUGAGCUGGCCUCCUUAUCGUAGAGCCGCCUUGUGGGCCUUUGUGUCUAAGGGGCUCCAGCACAAAUAAUAGUCGAGUCGGGUUGUUCCCUGGGCGGGUCAACCCAUUGGGUAUAUCCCCAACAUUAGCCCCUAGUUUAAAUUAGAUUCAUCCUUGUUAAAAUCCAUCCUGAAAAAUAAAUAAAACACCUCAAAUGUGAAGGUUAAAUAGAACUUUGCCUUUGAGCCGACAUUUCUCUUCUGAAGAGAGCUUCACCCAGGUCAAUAUUUUGCCGGGUUAUCUUACUUGUUCAGGACUUGAUGUUUUCUCAGCCACUUUUAUCAUGGUGCCACCUCGCUAACCAUUGAUUUCCUCGAAUCAUCAUUACAAAUCUUCGUGAGCAGUGGCUAAAUCAAGCCACGCGUGAAAAUCGAGGUGGCCCGCCCGCCGCUAAUCACUGUAGUCCCAUUUUUCGCCACUCCCUUCGGGUUGUCCCCUGCCUUAUAAAUAGGCCACCUAAGGUCAUUUUUAACUUCCUCCGUCUUCUUCCUCUCAUUGCCUUUGUAUACUCGAGUGCCACAGGAGUCCAAGCAUCGAAAGCUAUCCAGUCGCACUGCCAUUGUCGAUCGUGUUCAUCUAUGUUGCAUGCGGCUUCCUCUCGUGUGUGUCUCAUUCAAAACUUCUUCGGUUGUUCUUCCUCUUCAAAUCUGGUAAGUACUUGUUCUUACUCACUAGAUUUUUUCCGGUUUUUCUUUAUGGUUCUUAGUAGUUCUUGCCAAUCGNNNNNNNNNNNNNNNNNNNNNNNNNNNNNNNNNNNNNNNNNNNNNNNNNNNNNNNNNNNNNNNNNNNNNNNNNNNNNNNNNNNNNNNNNNNNNNNNNNNNGAGAUUUAGUCGCGGUUGGCAUGGCAAACCGCGACUAAAGGCCUUUGGGCACCUUUAGUCGCGGUUGGCCUGGCCAACCGCGACUAAAGCCCCUCACGUGCACCAGCUGGCCACCGAGCGCCCUGGCCCAGGCCUUUGGUCGCGGUUCGUCUGCCGAACCGCGACUAAAGAAAUCAUUAGUCGCGGUUCCUACAGUGUCGCGACUUAUGGGGCUGGACGGAAGCCUCUUUUUCUACCAGUGAUAUUACAAUGGAGAGAGGAGUUUCCUAGAUUUGUGCAAGUAAAUGAAAUGGACUUUCUGCAAAUAAAAUACAUGAAAUGACCCUUUAUCAAUAGGAAUGGCCGUUCUGCGAAUAAAAUAAAUGAAGUUCAUAGGACCCCUGGUUUUGUGGAAACCAUGUUCUCCAGCAUGUGUCAUUUUUAUCCUAUCUAUACCCGAGUAAUGCUACACCUAUAAAGACUUACGUAAAGAUUUUACGUACAAACUGAUGUGUAAGAUUGUGAUUGGUAAUUGAGAGAUGAGGGGCCCCAUCCCCACUGAAAAUCAGAGGGGAGAGAAGAGUUAGUUUGGAAGGUUAAGUAAACCUUUGUAAGUUUUUGUAUGUCUAGCAUUAUUGUCUAUGCCCUUGUCUGAUAGUGACCGACAAAACCACGGCCCACUUUACAGGAACGAAAGCGUGAGGGGCGACGCAGGUAAGCUGCUGCACCCCGUAUCCUGGAUAACGAGCGGCCGCAGCCGGCUGUUUUGCUCGGGCUGUUCCGUAUAUAACUCACUCUUCGUCUCAUCAACUCAAACAACCAUCAGUUCUGGCAAUGAGACAGUACAAGAAAACCAUUUCUGUUUCUCACAAUCGCAACUUUUGCAACUCCAGUAAUACUAGACACAGCGAUCACAAAUCAGCCUCCCCUAUCCAGUAACGCGGCAAGAGAAACAAGAGGGAGAAGAGAUGACUGGUCCGACGAAGGCAUCGUGAAUGGUGGCGAUGAGUGUCGGCGCCGUGGAGGACCGGCCUCUGCCGCUGGAACUACGCUCUCAGGUCCAUCCACCGGACAGCCAAGGCCAAGGCUAACGUCCAUGGCGGCGUCUCGCAG
rnacentral:lncRNA from 1 species